GAUGAAGAACGUAGCGAAAUGCGAUAAGUAAUGUGAAUUGCAGAAUUCAGUGAAUCAUCGAAUCUUUGAACGCACAUUGCGCCCGCUAGUAUUCUGGCGGGCAUGCCUGUCCGAGCGUCAUUUCAACCCUCAAGCCCCCGGGCUUGGUGUUGGGGAUCGGCGAGCCUCCGCGCCCGACGUCCCCUAAAUCUAGUGGCGGUCUCGCUGUAGCUUCCUCUGCGUAGUAGCACACCUCGCACUGGGAAACAGCGCGGCCACGCCGUUAAACCCCCAACUUCUGAACGUUUGACCUCGGAUCAGGUAGGAAUACCCGCUGAACUUAAGCAUAUCAAUAAGCGGAGGA
rnacentral:misc_RNA from 1 species